GUGGGGAAUCUUGCGCAAUGGGCGAAAGCCUGACGCAGCCAUGCCGCGUGAAUGAUGAAGGUCUUAGGAUUGUAAAAUUCUUUCACCGGGGACGAUAAUGACGGUACCCGGAGAAGAAGCCCCGGCUAACUUCGUGCCAGCAGCCGCGGUAAUACGAAGGGGGCUAGCGUUGCUCGGAAUUACUGGGCGUAAAGGGCGCGUAGGCGGACAGUUUAGUCAGAGGUGAAAGCCCAGGGCUCAACCUUGGAAUUGCCUUUGAUACUGGCUGUCUUGAGUACGGGAGAGGUGAGUGAACUCCGAGUGUAGAGGUGAAAUUCGUAGAUAUUCGGAAGAACACCAGUGGCGAAGGCGACUCACUGGCCCGUUACUGACGCUGAGGCGCGAAAGCGUGGGGAGCAAACAGGAUUAGAAACCCGUGUAGUCC
rnacentral:rRNA from 1 species